rnacentral:rRNA from 1 species
AUAGCGUAUAUUAAUGCUGUUGCAGUUGAAACGCUCGUAGUUGGACUUCUGGGUGAGUCGCUUGGUCGGCUUCGGUUGUCCCUUGCGGCUUGUCCUUUUGUCCAAGGAAGGCUCACGCAAGUGAGUCUGACUUGGGCCAGUUACUUUGAGAAAAUUAGGGUGUUCAAAGCAGGCCAGUGCCUUGAAUACGUUAGCAUGGAAUAACGGAAUAGGACUUUGGUUCUAUUUUGUUGGUGUCUAGGACCGAAGUAAUGAUUAAUAGGGACAGUUGGGGGCAUUCAUAUUUAAUUGUCAGAGGUGAAAUUCUUGGAUUUAUUAAAGAUGAACUACUG